AGUGAGAAGAAAAGUUGUUUCCAACAUGCAGUCCGUAUUCCAGCCAUCCUUUCAAUAAAAAAUGCUGAAAUUCUAAAGAUGGGACAAAGCACUAUGAAAUAUAUUGCAGAGAAACCAUCUACAAUAUUCUAUGGCUGGAAGCAAAGAAGAAAAGCCUGAUGACCCCACAGAUGGAUAUAUGUCCCAGGACUGUUAAUUCCAAGAGUGCUAUGAUGGGGGAAGCAUAUACUUCUCUUAAUUGCAUUAUACUAAGGACCUACAAUAUUUCAGGCCAUCUCCAUAUGCCUCAAGCUUGAUACUUGUACUGUUCCAUUAUUCAUUUUUUCCAUCUUCAGAGUGCCAAAUUAAAAUAAUUUCUUCAAUCUCGUACUUCAACAUACCUAGUCUAGCUCCAGUUAUGGAAUAUACACUACCUCUCAAACUCUCACUCCAGCAUAAAAAUGCUGUCUUAAAGUUGAUGCUUCCUUCUCUCCCUUUCAUUUCUUCUAGAUUUAGCUUUCUCCCCAUUAGCAAGCUCCCAGCUCUCUGCACAGGAAGCUACUCUUCUAAUUGAACCUGCUUUACAAAUCGCACAAUUGCCAGUAAGGUGUCCCAGUGCUAUAUGUAUUCCAAGUCUGAAAACACACUUGCCACAAAAAAUGUGCUGUAGUCAACUUUUCAGUCCCUUUAUCUUGUUUCUAUCAUGAAUCAUAUGUCCCAUCUUCCUCUUCAGCCUGCUAGUACAUUUAUGAGUUAAGAAAAUCAGAUUUUUGGGGGUUCCUCCUGACUUUGAAUCCUAAUUGCUUUUCUUUCUGGGAACC